UCGGCUUAGAGUUUGAUCCUGGCUCAGAUUGAACGCUGGCGGAAUGCUUAACACAUGCAAGUCGAGCGGGGUGUAGCAAUACACCUAGCGGCGGACGGGUGAGGAAUACAUAGGAAUCUGCCUCAGAGCGGGGGAUAGCCCGGGGAAACCCGGAUUAAUACCGCAUGAUGUCGCAAGACCAAAGUGGGGGACCGCAAGGCCCCACACUCUGAGAUGAGCCUAUGUCCGAUUAGCUAGUUGGCGGGGUAAUAGCCCACCAAGGCGACGAUCGGUAGCUGGUCUGAGAGGACGAUCAGCCACACCGGAACUGAGACACGGUCCGGACUCCUACGGGAGGCAGCAGUGGGGAAUAUUGGACAAUGGGCGCAAGCCUGAUCCAGCAAUUCCGCGUGGGUGAAGAAGGCCUUCGGGUUGUAAAUCCCUUUAAGUUGGGACAAAAAAAUCGGCGCUAACA
rnacentral:rRNA from 1 species